CCCAUAAGUAAUAAAAGGUCUGUUUAGGUUCAUUAACUUUAUUUAAAGUAAUGUUUUUGUCCCUUAUGUUAUUUUAAUUAAAAAAAAACGUUAAGUUUAGGGACCAAACUAAUACUAAUUAAUUAAGUUAAGGGACCAAAAUUUAACGUUUUUUUAAAUUAUAUUAACAGAAGAGACCAAACCGAUACUUUAAAUAAAGUUAAGGGACCUAAACGAACCUUUUAUUACUUAUGGGA
rfam:Medicago truncatula strain A17 chromosome 1, whole genome shotgun sequence.